GUGCUCGCUUUGGCAGCACAUUUAUUGAAAGUGGAACAAUAGAGAAAAUUAGCAUGGCCCUUGUCAAGGAUGACACACAAAUUUGUGAAGCAUUCCAUAUUUUA